AGAUACAGGAAGAGGCCUUAUGAUCACAAUGUCACUUAAGGUGACAGCUGCUUUUAAUGAGAAGAGUCAGUGCUCUGAGGUCAGAACAGGCAGAGACUGCAGGAGAUAUGAGCAGGUGUUAUUAGCUAUGGACUACACGAUAAACAGAGACUGCUUCUGGAGUAUGGGUUCAUCGCUGGAGACAACCCUCAUAGCGUUGUUUACAUCGACCAAGGUAAGAGGAUGAACUUGUACGUUUGAAAUUAAACAAAAAGGUCCUGUAGGUGUGUCAACCUGUCUUACUGAGAGUGGUCAAUGCAGGACACACAUUCUGUCCCCCCACCCCCAUCCCAUCACAUUCCAUUAAGGGGAAAGCACACUCUUAAAUGUAACAGUAUUACGUUUUAGAUUGGAGGUAUCUACAGACCUCAUGACAAUAUCCAGUCGGCAUUGUUAGAGGUUGUUGGUAUGAAUUUCUUUUUUCUUUUUAGAUGCCUUACAGUCCUGUCUUUUAAAAUAGGACAAGCAAACUGCUCAAAAGAACGGAGAAUAACUCUUUUAGAGAGUUGCUGUCUUCAUUUCUCCUUCGAUGGGAUUUCUCACUGGAGACUUCUAAUUACCUGAUUCCCAGACGAAGCACCCUGGAUUUAUAAACUGUUCUUGAAUACUUUUGUAGUGCUGGCAUCUACAU